UGUUGCUGCUUUACCCUGUUGGGAAGCAAAAUUGGUUAUUUUUACUGUUGACAGGUUACUCACUAAAGCUAAGCAGGACUGAGGCUGGUCAGUACCUGGAUGGGAGACCAAAUGGAAAAACUAGGUUGCUGUUGGAA
rnacentral:rRNA from 1 species